rnacentral:rRNA from 1 species
AGGCAAUGGAGGACCGAACCCACAUCCGUUGAAAAGGGUGGGGAUGAGGUGUGGAUAGGGGAGAUAUUCCAAUCGAACCCGGAGAUAGCUGGUUCUCCUCGAAAUAGCUUUAGGGCUAGCCUCAUACAAGUCUUGCGGAGGUAGAGCACUGAAUUCCUACGGGGGCGUCAAAGCUUACCAAGGGAUAUCAAACUCCGAAUGCCGUGUAGAUGAUGUAUGGGAGUCAGACUAUCCGAGAUAAGUUGGGUAGUCGAAAGGGAAAGAGCCCAGACCUGCAGCUAAGGCCCCAAAAUGUGUGUUAAGUGGAAAAGGAUGUGGGAUUUCGAAGACAACUAGGAUGUUGGCUUAGAAGCAGCCAUCCAUUAAAAGAGUGCGUAAUAGCUCACUAGUCGAGAGGUCCUGCGCCGAAAAUGUCCGGGGCUGAAACACACUGCCGAAGCUCAGGGAUGAACAGUGAUCAAUACAGAUCAAUGCAAGAGGAAAGCUUCUUGAUGAAAUCAAGAAGAUUCCAAAACAGAUGAAACAGACUGCUGUUGGUCUGCGUUGAUCACUGUUCAUCGGUAGAGGAGCAUUCUUAAAGAGACGAAGCUGUACCGAAAGGAGCAGUGGAUUUUUAAGAAGAGAGAAUGCCGGAAUGAGUAGCGAGAAAGAGGUGAGAAUCCUCUUGGCCGAAUAUCUAAGGUUUCCAGGGUAAAGCUGAUCUGCCCUGGGUAAGUCGGGGCCUAAGGCGAGGUCGAAAGACGUAGUCGAUGGAUAACAGGUUGAAAUUCCUGUACUAUCCUGUAACAGAACUGUGGGGACGCAGACAGAGAGCACAAGCCGGGAAUGGAAAGACCGGUGCAAGCGAGGUAGGAGUACAUCAGGCAAAUCCGGUGUGCAAUCCGAAGACGUGAUGCGGAUCGAAAAGAAGUAGAGAAGUGUGUGAGCUGGCUGCCAAGAAAAGCCGCUAUUGUUUACAGGAUACCCGUACCGUAAACCGACACAGGUGGAUGAGGAGAGAAUCCUAAGGCCGACGGGAGAAGCAUUGUUAAGGAACUCGGCAAAAUGACUCCGUAACUUCGGGAGAAGGAGUGCCAUGCGAAUGGCCGCAGAGAAUUGGCCCAAGCAACUGUUUAGCAAAACCACAGGUCUAUGCAAAACCGCAAGGUGAAGUAUAUGGGCUGACGCCUGCCCGGUGCUGGAAGGUUAAGGGGAGAGGUUAGCGCAAGCGAAGCUUUGAACUUAAGCCCCAGUAAACGGCGGCCGUAACUAUAACGGUCCUAAGGUAGCGAAAUUCCUUGUCGGGUAAGUUCCGACCCGCACGAAAGGCGUAAUGAUUUGGGCACUGUCUCAACGAUACACCCGGUGAAAUUGAAAUACCAGUGAAGAUGCUGGUUACCUGCGCCAGGACGGAAAGACCCCAUGGAGCUUUACUCCAGUUU